GAUGAACGCUGGCGGCGUGCCUAAUACAUGCAAGUCGAGCGAACAGACGAGGAGCUUGCUCCUCUGACGUUAGUGGCGGACGGGUGAGUAACACGUGGAUAACCUACCUAUAAGACUGGGAUAACUUCGGGAAACCGGAGCUAAUACCGGAUAAUAUAUUGAACCGCAUGGUUCAAUAGUGAAAGACGGUUUUGCUGUCACUUAUAGAUGGUUCCGCGCCGCAUUAGCUAGUUGGUAAGGUAACGGCUUACCAAGGCAACGAUGCGUAGCCGACCUGAGAGGGUGAUCGGCCACACUGGAACUGAGACACGGUCCAGACUCCUACGGGAGGCAGCAGUAGGGAAUCUUCCGCAAUGGGCGAAAGCCUGACGGAGCAACGCCGCGUGAGUGAUGAAGGUCUUCGGAUCGUAAAACUCUGUUAUUAGGGAAGAACAAAUGUGUAAGUAACUAUGCACGUCUUGACGGUACCUAAUCAGAAAGCCACGGCUAACUACGUG
rnacentral:rRNA from 1 species